rnacentral:rRNA from 1 species
AACGAACGCUGGCGGCGCGCUUAACACAUGCAAGUCGAACGAGAAGGCGUAGCAAUACGCUUGUACAGUGGCGAACGGGUGAGUAAUACGUGGGCGACCUACCCUCGAGUGGGGAAUAACCCGCCGAAAGGCGGGCUAAUGCCGCGUACGCUUCCAUCUUUAUGGAGGUGGAAGGAAAGCCGUGCCGUGGGCACGGCGCUCAAGGAUGGGCUCACGUCCUAUCAGCUUGUUGGUAGGGAACGGCCUACCAAGGCUCCGACGGGUAGCUGGUCUGAGAGGACGAUCAGCCACACUGGCACUGCGACACGGGCCAGACUCCUACGGGGAGGCAGCAGUGAGGAAUAUUGCGCAAUGGGCGAAAGCCUGACGCAGCGACGCCGCGUGGGGGAUGAAGGUCUUCGGAUUGUAAACCCCGUUUCGGGAGGGAAGAUGGGACGGGCACCGUUACGGCGGUACCUCCAGAAGCAGCCACGGCUAACUUCGUGCCAGCCGCCGCUGUAAU